ACGGAGGGUGCAAGCGUUAAUCGGAAUUACUGGGCGUAAAGCGCACGUAGGCUGUAGUGUAAGUCAGGGGUGAAAUCCCAUGGUUCAACCGUGGAACUGCCUUUGAUAUUGCACAACUUGAAUCCGGGAGAGGGUGGCGGAAUUCCAGGUGUAGGAGUUAAAUCCGUGGAUAUCUGGAGGAACAUCUGUGGCGAAGGCGGCCCCCUGGACCGGUAUUGACGCUGAGGUGCGGAAGCGUGGGGAGCAAACAG
rnacentral:rRNA from 1 species